GCCAUGGCGACCGCGGGAAUUCGAUUCAGGCCUAACACAUGCAAGUCGAGCGGGGAAAGGUAGCUUGCUACUUGACCUAGAGGCGGACGGGUGAGUAAUGCUUAGGAAUCUGCCUAUUAGUGGGGGACAACAUCUCGAAAGGGAUGCUAAUACCGCAUACGUCCUACGGGAGAAAGCAGGGGACCUUCGGGCCUUGCGCUAAUAGAUGAGCCUAAGUCGGAUUAGCUAGUUGGUGGGGUAAAGGCCUACCAAGGCGACGAUCUGUAGCGGGUCUGAGAGGAUGAUCCGCCACACUGGGACUGAGACACGGCCCAGACUCCUACGGGAGGCAGCAGUGGGGAAUAUUGGACAAUGGGGGGAACCCUGAUCCAGCAAGGCCGCGUGUGUGAAGAAGGCCUUUUGGUUGUAAAUCAUAAGGGGCGAGGAGGAGGCUACCGAGAUUAAUACUCUUGGAUAGUGGACGUACUCGCAGA
rnacentral:rRNA from 1 species